AAAUUCCUUGUCGGGUAAGUUCCGACCUGCACGAAUGGCGUAAUGAUGGCCAGGCUGUCUCCACCCGAGACUCAGUGAAAUUGAACUCGCUGUGAAGAUGCAGUGUACCCGCGGCAAGACGGAAAGACCCCGUGAACCUUUACUAUAGCUUGACACUGAACAUUGAGCCUUGAUGUGUAGGAUAGGUGGGAGGCUUUGAAGUGUGGACGCCAGUCUGCAUGGAGCCGACCUUGAAAUACCACCCUUUAAUGUUUGAUGUUCUAACGUUGGCCCGUAAUCCGGGUUGCGGACAGUGUCUGGUGGGUAGUUUGACUGGGGCGGUCUCCUCCUAAAGAGUAACGGAGGAGCACGAAGGUUGGCUAAUCCUGGUCGGACAUCAGGAGGUUAGUGCAAUGGCAUAAGCCAGCUUGACUGCGAGCGUGACGGCGCGAGCAGGUGCGAAAGCAGGUCAUAGUGAUCCGGUGGUUCUGAAUGGAAGGGCCAUCGCUCAACGGAUAAAAGGUACUCCGGGGAUAACAGGCUGAUACCGCCCAAGAGUUCAUAUCGACGGCGGUGUUUGGCACCUCGAUGUCGGCUCAUCACAUCCUGGGGCUGAAGUAGGUCCCAAGGGUAUGGCUGUUCGCCAUUUAAAGUGGUACGCGAGCUGGGUUUAGAACGUCGUGAGACAGUUCGGUCCCUAUCUGCCGUGGGCGCUGGAGAACUGAGGGGGGCUGCUCCUAGUACGAGAGGACCGGAGUGGACGCAUCACUGGUGUUCGGGUUGUCAUGCCAAUGGCACUGCCCGGUAGCUAAAUGCGGAAGAGAUAAGUGCUGAAAGCAUCUAAGCACGAAACUUGCCCCGAGAUGAGUUCUCCCUGAGACUUAGAGUCUCCUGAAGGAACGUUGAAGACGACGACGUUGAUAGGCCGGGUGUGUAAGCGCAGCGAUGCGUUGAGCUAACCGGUACUAAUGAACCGUGAGGCUUAACCUU
rnacentral:rRNA from 1 species